rnacentral:rRNA from 1 species
AACGAACGCUGGCGGCGCGUCUUAAGCAUGCAAGUCGAGCGGCAAGUCGGUGCUUGCACCGGCCUAGAGCGGCGGACUGGUGAGUAACACGUGGGUGAUCUACCUUUAGGUUGGGGAUAGCCAUUAGAAAUAGUGGGUAAUACCGAAUGAGGUGGCGUGUCCAAGGACACGUCAAGAAAGGAGCUACGGCUCCGCCUGAAGAUGAGCCCGCGGCCCAUUAGCUAGUUGGGGGUGUAACGGACCACCAAGGCGAUGAUGGGUAGCCGGCCUGAGAGGGUGAACGGCCACACUGGGACUGAGAUACGGCCCAGACUCCUACGGGAGGCAG